rnacentral:lncRNA from 1 species
CUGAUCUCAGAACCUCUGGAAAUUGAACCUGCCUCUCUGAUCCUCCAGCUCCAUUGCACAGAUGGGGAAAUCAGUCCUUGGCAGGACAGCGAGAAAGACGCAGGAGUUUCGCUCUGUUGCUGUGUGACUUUGGGCAGGUAGCCCGUCUCUUCCAAACGUCUUUAAGAGGGGAUUAAAGAUCACAGGAGCGACGGAAUCAAGAGGCUGCAGACCCAUACAACUCAGUGAGAAGCAGAGUGAAGGUGAAGGAGGGCCCAGGGAGAGCCAGGACCCCCAAGAUGCUGCUGGGAAAGACCUAGGGAAAUACCUGAUACUAUUGCUGUUGCAAGUGAUGACCAUGUGUGAGAUACUGGUGUGUGCAGACCCUGGGUCUAGAGAGCUGACACCAUGAUCUCCUGAAAGACAUCACAACUACUGCUCUCCAUACUUCCCAUUGAGUCUCUAACCCAGACUGAUCAUGGGGAAAAUGUAAAUAUGGCCACCUGUGCACACACUCUCUCUCUACUUUUGAGAUGGGGGUCUAAUUUUGGAACUCACUAUAUAGCUUAGGCUAGCCUCAAAUUCAUGGCAGUUCUCCUGCCUCCAAGUGCUGGGAUUACAAGCUUGAACCACCACACCUGGCUUGUCUCUUUCUUAACCUUCCAACAGGGGAUGGGGAAAUGGCUCAGAGAAUAAAAGCACUUGCCUUGCAAACACAAGGACUGGCUUUUGGAUACCCAUCACUUACAUAAAAGCCAGGCUUGUGACACACACACACACACACACCCAAACAAACAAACAAACAAACAAACAAACAG